rnacentral:lncRNA from 1 species
CUGUGAUGGAUAUAUCCUAUUAGCAUGUCUAUUUUACUUCUGGGAUGAGAAGACAAAGUUGCCUUAUUGUAACAUAUCUCUCUUAUGAGUGAUAAGUACAUUCAAAUCUCUUUCUCUGGCUCUUCUUCCUAAUUGGUUGUCCCAGGUUUUCCUUGUGCUGCAGAGAUUUAAAUUUUUUUUUAAAUCUAACAAAUAUAUUGAUAUACACAAAUGAAAGGUGUUAUGUAAAAGAUUGUUGCUCUAAAGACAUUAUUAGAAUGAAAAGGAGUUCUUUCCUUUUUGAUAAUCUCUUCCUUCCUUCCUGAGUACAGUUUUUAUGGCAUCCCAAAUAGGCCUCAAGGUCACAGUGUGAAUAAUCCAAGACUGGGACUUUGAACUGGUUUUGAAAACUGAGAAGCUUGGUAGCUUUUUAACACCUCCUUAUUUUUCCACAUGCCCCAGCACAUCUUAACUUUGGAGCUAUGCAAUAAAGAACACUCCCAAUGAACUUUGGAUCUUAUAUCUAAGCAGUUCCCUUUUCCUUUUCUUUUUUUUUCUCCUCCUUUUCUUUUGUUUCUUUAUUUUUUUCAAUUUUUCUGCCAGAAAUCUAAUCUUAUCAUGCUAACGGCACGGGAUGUUCUACAGUUUUUACAAGGCACAUACAAAUGUGAUCAAAUCUUGAUAUCCUUCUUCUCUCCACUGGUCGUUUUUUCUCCUCGUCCCUCUAAGUAAGGGAAUGCAGCCCCCGGCUCGCUGUCAACAUUCCCGGAGCUCAGAUCACACCUGGGACCCUGUCACGGACCCCUUUCAAGAUUUCUGGGGAGAGAUGAAAACAUUUUGAGUGAAACAGGAAGUUCAGCAAGUCAAAACACCGUCUCAGGUUGGGGUUAUCCAUUUGUCAGGAGAGCGUGUUUUUACCUGUGCCGGCAUUCAGGCAGGAGGUCCAACGCAUCCGACCACGGCGGCUGAUCAAGGAAGGGAAGCGGAACUUGCCAGCAGCACUGCUCCGCCAGGAGAUGAAACGGAAUCAGUGGUCAGAGGUUGCAUAAAUGUGGAUUCAUAUGCUCUGAAAAAAGCUGAAGUGAAUAGAAUGUGACUACUGGAAUGUUCUUCAUUCUCCAGUCAUAAAAUAUGAUGGAAUGGAUGAAUAACGACUUUACAUUAAUGUAUUUGCUAAAAAAGAACAAGCUAUUUUUUCUGCAUUCCC